rnacentral:rRNA from 1 species
UACGAAGGGGGCUAGCGUUGUUCGGAAUCACUGGGCGUAAAGCGCUCGUAGGCGGAUCUUUAAGUCAGGGGUGAAAUCCCGAGGCUCAACCUCGGAACUGCCUUUGAUACUGGGGAUCUCGAGUCCGGGAGAGGUGAGUGGAACUGCGAGUGUAGAGGUGAAAUUCGUAGAUAUUCGCAAGAACACCAGUGGCGAAGGCGGCUCACUGGCCCGGUACUGACGCUGAGGUGCGAAAGCGUGGGGAGCAAACAGG